GAGUCCAACGGGCGGCCCUUUGACUCUCCCCAGAAGGAGGCAGCCCUUCCCUGCCCGCUCCCGUCGCUCCCACCUUGCUUCUGGAGAGCGGGUUUGACGUUCCCACCCCCUCCCCAGCGACCCCCUGGAGAGGAAGGGAGCCAGGAGGGAGGAAGACUCUUCUUUCUCCCACCUGGCGGGUGCGUAGGGAGGGAUACUAAGGCAGCGGAGGGCAGGGAGGGGGGCCGAGGGAACAGGGACCCGAGGGUCUGUCUUAGGGGGAAAAAAGGAUAAACAGAAACCUCAUGGUGUGUCUUUCCAAAAGCCUCAGGACGUCAUGAGUCCUUGAGUGACCCUCCUCAGUUGCCCAGUGAGGUUGGGCACCUUGCAAGGGCGAGAGGACAGGUUUCAGAGGGAGGCAGGUGCACUUUUAGCCGCUUACCUGCCGCCUCCAUGUCCUUACCUGGAAUGCGGGGCAAAGGGCAGCCCAGGGUUAGGUAUGCUUCUGUUGUCUCUACACUUUUUGUUUUUUUAAGAUUUUAUUUAUUUAUUCAUGAGAGACAGGGAGAGAGGCAGGGGCAGAGGGCCAGAUGCCAGACUCCAUCCAAGGACCCAGGGAUCAAGACUUGGCCCUAGGGGCAGCCACUUAACCGCUUAACCGACUGAGCCAUCCAGGCGCCCUGCUGUCUCCACGCUUCCGCUGUUGAAGCAGAGGACCCUGUUUUGUGCUUCCAGGGUGGCAGAACUGACAAGGAAGUUGCGCUGAGCUUCAGGAGGUCCCCUGGAAAUAUUAAGGGGUGGAGACAGAGGCAGAUCAGGAGGAGUCAGGAGAGUCCUUGAUGAUGACAUGUUGAUUCUGAGACCAAGUUUUAAAUGGCGUCUCUUCUGUCAACCUGGCUUGAGAAUGGGUAUGGGUCACAUCUUGGGCCUCAUCUGCAAGAAGAGAUGGGGGUCUGG